GUGGACGCCGCCAAGGCCUGCGGCAUCACUCCCAUGCACUUGAGCCUGUUUGGUUUGAUGAGGGAGAGCGACCACAUGUGGCUUCCACCCAAUCACGUGCUCAAUCUGGAACCGUCAGCAAAUGAGAGAGUCCUGUUCCGAAUCAGGUACUAUUUCCCUGGAUGGUACAACAAUGGC